rnacentral:lncRNA from 1 species
UCUUUAUUUCUACUUGUGCUGAAUCAUUAUCUAAUCUAUUUUCUGUUCUUAUUGUGUUUUCAGCCUUUUUCUAUCUUAAGGAAUCAGCCCAAAAAUCCCCAAUUUCUAGGGUUUUUCCAUACUCUCUUUGGGUGAAAUUAGAUUGUCGAAAUUUGGGGAAAACUAUCUUGGUGUUCAAUUGGGCAGAAUCACAAUCUCCUUGAGGGUUUCAAGAACCCUAACACUUAUUUCUAUUCUCAAUUUGAUUCUUUACUGAUUUGGG